rnacentral:rRNA from 1 species
GAUCCUGGCUCAGGAUGAACGCUGGCGGCGUGCAUAACACAUUCAAGUCGAACGGACUUUAUGGGAUUAAUUCUUCGGAAAGCGUCCUGUAAAGUUAGUGGCGGACGGGUAAGUAACGCGUGAGCAACCUGCCUUUGAUAGGGGGAUAACAGAGGGAAACUUCUGCUAAUACCGCAUGAAGCAUGGGGAUCGCAUGGUCUCGAUGCCAAAGGAGCAAUCCGAUCAAAGAUGGGCUCGCG